rnacentral:snRNA from 1 species
GUGCUCGCUUUGGCAGCACAUGUACUAAAAUUGGAACGAUACAGAGAAGAUUAGCAGGGCCCCUGCACAAGUAUGACAUGCAAAUUCAUGAGGUGUUCCAUAUUUUU